rnacentral:rRNA from 1 species
UACAGAGGUCUCAAGCGUUGUUCGGAUUCAUUGGGCGUAAAGGGUGUGUAGGUGGCGCGCUAAGUCGGGUGUGAAAUUUCGGAGCUUAACUCCGAAACUGCAUUCGAUACUGCCGUGCUUGAGGACUGGAGAGGAGACUGGAAUUUACGGUGUAGCGGUGAAAUGCGUAGAUAUCAGGAGGAACACCGAUGGCGAAGGCAGGUCUCUGGGCUGAAACUGACGCUCAUGCACGAAAGCGUGGGGAGCAAACAGG